ACACACGCCGACGCCGCUGCCGCCGCUGCAGUCGCUGCACAACAUGCGCGACGCCGCCGCCGCCGCCACCGACCGCGCCAAGCGGAACGUGCUCUCCUCCGUCAACCGCACUUAACAGGAUGACUUGAAGACAGGCAGAGACAGUUAAGUGCUAGUGAAGAAUAGACUUUGUGUCGAGGCGUUAAGGAUCAUAUUCUAUUGGAAUCGCUGCCGUGCCCUGGAUAUAUGGGGAGUGUAGUUCGAAAGUAUCUUUAAGAGUUUUAUUAUUGAUACAAUGGUAUAUAUGUAGUCAUAUAGUGGAUAGAUUGGACUAUGAGUUGCUUAGUAGAAAUUGAGGAGUAACUGGUACUUAAGCUUAGAAUAAAUUUAAAAGUGGAAAAAUUACUGUCUUGGAGACUUGAACUCACGGCCUGUAGAUCGAUACCACAAAAUAAGUAAUAGAAUUAUCAUACAGAACGGCUACGCACCACCCCGCCCCAACUCGCAUUACCUCGCCCCGCGACUGGCCGCGACAUGAAUCUGGCGGACUUCUGGCGUCCUCUCGGUAAAGCGACUUACCCACACAUGCACAAUGACGCGUGUACAGACGUGCCGCGCACACAUAUAAACGCAAAUGAUUUUUGAUGUAUGGCGUGUCCGCCAUGUGUCGAUACUCCAGCGCUCUACCAUCAAGACCUCAUCCAUAGCCAGCAAAUCUUUCCACCAUAUGGGUCAUAUGGGGUUUUUCCACUUUUAAAUUUAUGCUAAGCUUAAUAGCAUGGUUCGCAGACGUUUCUGCUUGUUGUAAAUUAUAACUGGUACUUGGUAAAAAAAUCAUAUCAGAUUUCUGUGCAAGAAAAGCAUAUAAAACUAUUACCUCAAAAAAUAAUGUCUUUAGGGGCCCACUGAUUAACAGUCCGCCGGACAGAAUCGGCCUGUCAGUUAGAACAAAAAGUUUACAGUUCUGAACAACUCACAGGCAGAUACCAUCCGGCGGACUGUUAAUCAGUGGGCCCCUUUACAUCAUUGUGGAAAAGAGUUGAUACUCUUCAAACUGCUGGAUCGAUUUCUAUCAAACAUAGCUAAGUACCACCGCAAGGAAACUCGCUUUCACUUAACACUGGUAGGCACUCGUAACGUAAUGUUUGCUCAGACAACCCGCCCAGAUAGACGACCGGUUUCUGGGAUAGUGCGCCGUUUUUUGCCCGGUUGCGAAAGUGUUAAAACAAUUGCAUCGAAAUCGGUCCAUCCGUUUGAGAGCUACGAUGCCACAGACAAACAAACAGACAGACAUUCAUAUAACACCCCUCUUUUUAGCGUCAGGGGUUAAAACUUGCCAAUUUGUAAAUUUUGGUCUCAUUUUGCUUGAAUUUGAGACAUUACUGCCAAUUGUAAUAACAGGUAAAAAGUGUUGUUUUUUUUUUGCUUUUGGUACUGAUUUGCAAAAAUAAAUGCAACUGUUGUUAUACCACACUGUCGUAUAUAAUAAAUGUUACUACAUUUUUUUAUUGCCUAAGACCCAGUUGCACCAUUCCACUAACCCGGGGUUAACCGGUUAAACCUGGCGUUACAAUGGUUACCAGUAUGAUUCGACACUAGGUUAACCGUUUAACCGCUUAAUCCCGGGUUAGUGGAAUGGUGCAAAUGGGCCUAAUUAAGACUCUAUUCGUGUCAAUUUAAUAUAUUUUGGAAAAUAUUAGAAUAUAAAUAAAUUUAGAAAUUUCGAUAAAAAAAGCAAACCGUUUUCAUCUCUGGGUAUUAACAUUAUCAAUAAGAUAGCAAAACCAAAAUAUUACCAUAUUUUUGUAAGUUUCUAACAGUUCUUCAGAAAACAAGAUUAAAAGGUAAAAACUAGUGCCUACGCCAAUUCUUGGGAUUAGUUGCCAAGCGGACCCCAGGCUUCCAUGAGCCGUGGCAAAAUGCCGGGACAACGCAAGAAAGAUGAUAAUGUUAGUAUUUAGAGAGGAAACUAGGGACUACGUUUGUAUGGAGUAGCGGUUGUCCACUUUCCUCUAUUUAUACAUGUAUCUAAAGUACGAAGCUUAUGUAAAAUUUGAUGCUAUUUAUUUAUAUUAUGUAUACGCUUGUAUGUUCAUUUACGUAUGCAUGUGCUAUUUUCAUUUCACUGCCAUAAAAACGUUAUGUGCAUAGACUUCAAUACUAAAUACGGCGCGAUUCGGGAAAUGAAUUAGACAUUCACUAGACAUGAAAUAGUAACGAUAUGUGACGUUCCACAGCAAAAGGUACCUUAUGGCCGCAAUAAUAUUGGAGCGGCAUUAAUAAUAGCGUAAGUACCAACCGCCAUAGGGUACCUUUUGCCGUGGAACGUCACAUAUCGUUACUAUAUCAUGUCUAGUGAAUGUCUAAUUCAUUUCCCGAAUCGCGCCGAUAGUGUGUUUAACCCUUCAACGGUCCAGAUUAAAAAAUACUCAAUUCAAGCCUCAUUACAUCGCUAGGCCUAAAAAUUCUGCAUAAAAAAUACAAAAAGAUAAUGGUAAAAUAAUAGUUAUACGAUCUUCGGUCAUGUUUCAAUUUAUCGCCACUCGUUGCGAAUUUCCUACUUUUCGCACUUGUAUAGUAAUGUAUAGUUUGUAGGUUUCUAAUAGAGGCCGAAGGCUAAUACUAUUGUCUAUUGUUAAGUAAAACCGCAUGUGCCACGUGCCACAACCACCUGCAUAAAAAUACGUACUUCGGUUACUGAGUGCCGGCGAGUCGAACGCUACAGAACCAGUCUAAAAUGUGUCAUCGAGAUGCGUAACAAAGGCGCGUUAUCGGAAAGCGCAGCGACGCUGGUUUUUUGAGCGUUGGACUAGCCUACGCUUAGAUGCCAAAAUAAGACCCUUUUUUGCAGAUAAGUAGCACGUCCGGUUUUACUUAACAAUAGACAAUAGGAUUAGCCGUCGGGCUCUAUUAGAAACCUACAAAUUAUACUAUUAAUCACUAGGGGAGGGCAGUUGCUCCUUCCCCCCAUGCCUCCUGGCGACGCCCUUGCUCCCUCGUAUAAAGGACGCGAAGCACGAAGAAUUUCGUACAUUGACCCGCCAUCUCCUAUCUCUAUCGCACGCGCAUAGUUAUAUUGCUGUCCCGCUCAUGAUGCCGGCGGUCAAUACCACUGUGCGAGCGGGACAGCAUAGUGUUCUAUAUUUGAAGUCCAUUGCAUUCAGCUACUUUGUACCUACGAAACCGCAUUCCAACUGUGGGUUAUGUGAAUGGGGUUGGCAACUGUCAUGGCUCCUCUACACGAUGGGCCAGCGCCGGCCACUCCAAGGGACACAGCCAUGCGGUAGAAUGAGAUAGCAAUAUCACUUGCUCCCUCUAACGCAUACAUGCGUCCCUUGGAGUGGCCGGCGUUGGCCCAACGUGUAGAGAAGCCCU